AUGGCUGUCGUCAGCUCGUGUCGUGAGAUGUUGGGUUAAGUCCCGCAACGAGCGCAACCCUUGCCAUUAAUUGCCAUCAUUUAGUUGGGCACUUUAAUGGGACUGCCGGUGACAAACCGGAGGAAGGUGGGGAUGACGUCAAGUCCUCAUGGCCCUUAUGGCCAGGGCUUCACACGUAAUACAAUGGUCGGUACAGAGGGACGCCAACCCGCGAGGGGGAGCCAAUCCCAGAAAGCCGGUCGUAGUCCGGAUUGUUGUCUGCAACUCGACAGCAUGAAGUCGGAAUCGCUAGUAAUCGCGGAUCAGAAUGUCGCGGUGAAUACGUUCCCGGGCCUUGUACACACCGCCCGUCACACCAUGGGAGUGGGUUUUACCAGAAGUAGUUAGUCUGACCGCAAGGGGGACGAUUACCACGGUAGGAUUCAUGACUGGGGUGAAGUCGUAACAAGGUAGCCGUAUCGGAAGGUGCGGCUGGAUCACCUCCUUUCAAGAGAUCACCUCUCUAUGAGCAUUCACUCUUAUCAGUUGUUUUUAGCACAAAGAAUGAUUAAUUGGCCCAUUUAGGGUCUGUAGCUCAGCUGGUUAGAGCACCGUGUUGAUAACGCGGGGGUCGUUGGUUCGAGCCCAACCAGACCCACCAAACAUAACCUGUUUAGUUCCUAGGGGGAUUAGCUCAGCUGGGAGAGCACCUGCUUUGCAAGCAGGGGGUCGUCGGUUCGAUCCCGUCAUCCUCCACCAAUUCUUUGAAUAUAGAAGUAAGCCUCAAGCGUUGUUUCACAAUUUUUGAGACUGGCUUUUAUUAGCUAGUAUGUUCUUUAACAAUUUGGAAGAAGUAAAACGAAAUCAUAAGAUUGUGAUGAGAUUAUGAUUUCAUUGGGUAAUGAUUGUAAAAUCAAAACUAAAUCAACAAAAAACUAAGAAGUUUUAGUAUUUAUAGUUGUUUUAAGCAAUGCUUUAGAAGAAACUAUAACGAUUGUCUCAUGCAAGAAAACAUAAGUUUAAAAGGGCUUAGGUUUUAAAGUUAUAGGAUCAAGUGAAUAAGUGCAUAUGGUGAAUGCCUUGGCGAUUACAGGCGAUGAAGGACGUGGUAGUCUGCGAAAAUUCUCGGGGAGCUGACAAACGAGCUUUGAUCCGGGAGUGUCCGAAUGGGGAAACCCGG
rnacentral:sRNA from 1 species